CCGCUCGCAGGCGGCGGGGCGCGCGCUACGCUCGGGUUCGCUUUGCUGCCGCCCGCAAUAGCCGCGGCAGGCGCGACGGCUAGUAUGGCAGCUUGGCGGCGCGUGACGCUUGUGGACCUCCUGCACGUUGUUGUUGCUGCUGCUUUGCAAUCCGGCGUGUCAGACAGAAGAGACAACGCGUGACUGAGACGUUCAUUGGUGGUUGCUCGUGCGAGCUCCCAUCUAGAGACUUCCUGCACGUCAGCUGGAGAUCCAUUUCUUUCGCUAGUCUAUAAAAGCCCAAGAUAGCCGACAGGCCAUAGAUAAAUAUUGCAGAGGGAAAGACAAAGGCGAAAAGAAGUGGUGAUCUGAUAACCUUCUGCAAGACUGCAACACAGCCUUCCCUCUCUCUCUCCUUCAUUACACAAUCUGUUCUGGCUCUCCCACUGAAGGCACGGCUUCUCUGACAACAAAGAACAGUUACAGAUGCAGCAAUAAUAAGGUGGCCAAGCUGAUGCAAUAUCAAAGUCCCAUCUACUGAUAAGACUCCCAUCAGUUCCACUUUAUCAGAGUAAGCUCAGAGACAUGGGUAGCUCCUGAAUGGGCAUUAGCUGCCUGCUCUAUCUUUUACAUCGUGCAUCAUUUCAAGGUGCCACUUUUUAAACCCCAAGACAGAGGACUGUUUGCUAUCCAUGGAAGGUGAACAGAUACAAGGAAGGGUGUAUACUGGGCAGCAGAAGAAGGAGGCAAUUGCCAAAAAUCACCCCAAUAGAAUUAGUUGGGAUAUAACUCUAUAUUCAUAAACAUGUAUGACCACUCAUAUCUAAAUAUUUGUAAAAACUUACUAUGUCAUUGAUUCUGUGCAAAAGUCGUGAUAUAAACUGCAAUUUUUCUAUAAAUACAGUUAACAUGCAGCUGUAAUCCCUGGAUCCAGCUAUAUUUACUCUGAUGAUGGAUAAUAAUUGGGUCUAUAAAAAUAAGCUAUUUGAAAACUUAUGUCUACACUUUUAUAGCUUCAAAAUGACACUUAGUCA